UAGAGGAGGAACCGUUAUGUGCGAAGCGCAUAAUUAAGAAUCGGUUCCGACGACCUGCCGUCUGGCGAAUGCGAGGGGGCGAUACGAAUU
ncrna:unclassified sequences GA-cis RNA